GUGAGACUCCUUCUAAAAAGAAAAAAUGCCUAGAAGUCACAGCAACUCCAUGCAAUAAGUGGUUCUUGAUUGGAUCUGUGUUUGAACAAACCAACUGUAUGAUCCUGUAGACUAACUGGGGGAAAUUUAAAUGUGAUUUGGGUAUUAGAUGAUAUUAGGGAAAUUUUUUGCUCAUUCUCUUACAUGUGAUAAUGGCAUUGCGUUUAUGUAGGUAAAUGUCAUUUUUUUUAAACAAUUCACAUUGAAAAGUCACAAUGCCUGUAAUUUACCUUAAAAUACUUUAGUCAAAAAAAGCAAAUGGAGAAAAAUGUUAACAACUAUGAAAUCUAGGUUCAUUCUCUUUUCUGUUCUGCUUGAAGUUUUUUAUAAUAAAAAGAAAAACCCCCAAACAGAAGUUAAGGAUCAUUGUAAUUACAUACUGGGUUUUAUUGAACAAAAGUUGAAAUGUUUUCAUGUUUUUUUAUUUUAUUUUUCAAAAUAAACUCUAAAUAUAAGCUUUUCUCCCCACAGUUGCAUGUGGAUUACAGUUCCUGCUUUAAGCAGACUUACCUUUAGUGGACUACUUUUUUGGUGCCAGUAUCUUUAGAUAACAUGGAGCCUGUAUUCCUGGACUGGCGCUGCUGGCCCAUUUCCCUGGUGACUCACUCAUGCCAUCUCUCAUCACAGACGCUGAGUUAUACUGGGUCACCGAGCAGGGCUCCUGGACUUCCUGUCUCCCAGAGGGGAUAACGCUGGUCUCGCAGGAGUUAGUGAGGGUUACAUGCACUGGUGUUGUCAGCCCCACAGCAGCCUCAGGCUGGGUCCUGACUAGCCACUGAUGGAGGUGUCUCCAUUGCAGAGAGAGGAUGGGGGUGCCACACCUCCAGAGCUUCCUUUGGCUCUCAGGUUCACUGUGCAGGCCCUUUGCAAACAAAAGUCACUGGAGGAAUUUCUAAGAGGAGAUUAACUAGGGGUUGAGGGGUCUGGACAGCCAGGGUGGUGGGUGAGGUGGCGGGCAGUACAACUGCGAGAAGCCAGUUGGUCUGAGCAUAGAGAAGAGAAUGGAGUACUGGAAGAUAUUAUUUUGUUGCAUAAAUCCUUUAACUUCUAAGCAA